CAGUCGACGCUGAAGCAUCUUCGGGUGUGGAUGAGUGGCGAACGGGUGAGUAACACGUGGGUAACCUGCCCUGUACUUUGGGAUAAGCCCUGGAAACGGGGUCUAAUACCGAAUAUGACUCGCUAAGGCAUCUUGGUGGGUGGAAAGUUUCGGCGGUACAGGAUGGGCCCGCGGCCUAUCAGCUUGUUGGUGGGGUAGUGGCCUACCAAGGCGACGACGGGUAGCCGGCCUGAGAGGGUGACCGGCCACACUGGGACUGAGACACGGCCCAGACUCCUACGGGAGGCAGCAGUGGGGAAUAUUGCACAAUGGGCGGAAGCCUGAUGCAGCGACGCCGCGUGAGGGAUGACGGCCUUCGGGUUGUAAACCUCUUUCGCCAGGGACGAAGCGUAAGUGACGGUACCUGGAGAAGAAGCACCGGCUAACUACGUGCCAGCAGCCGCGGUAAUACGUAGGGUGCAAGCGUUGUCCGGAAUUAUUGGGCGUAAAGAGCUCGUAGGCGGCUUGUCGCGUCUGCUGUGAAAAUCCGGGGCUUAACUCCGGACCUGCAGUGGAUACGGGCAGGCUUGAGUUCGGUAGGGGAGACUGGAAUUCCUGGUGUAGCGGUGAAAUGCGCAGAUAUCAGGAGGAACACCGGUGGCGAAGGCGGGUCUCUGGGCCGAUACUGACGCUGAGGAGCGAAAGCGUGGGGAGCGAACAGGAUUAGAUACCCUGGUAGUCCACGCUGUAAACGUUGGGCGCUAGGUGUGGGCGACU
rnacentral:rRNA from 1 species